UAGUGUUUCUACCAGUCUGCUGCCUGAACCGGCCAAGAGGACCACCUGCAUCCCUGCGCACAGUACAGAGAGCCCAGAGCGGAGGAAGGUGUGGGCCCGGUAUGCUACGGGGGCAGUGAGGGGUGAGAAGAGGCCCUGGGGAAACUCAGGAGUGCUUAUUGAGUAUUUUGUGCUGCUCCUGGGAAUAAAGAGAUCAAGAAGACCCAGCCCUGGAAGCAAGAAGACAGGCAGAGAGACGAAGGUUUGGAACUAGGCUUGGUCGUUCCUAGUACUUGUGGAAAGAGGCCUUGGGAAUACUUCACUGGGUCAGUUCAUCCUCUUCCUCCUGCUGUUCCCAGCGCCCGUUAUAACAUUCUGUGUGG